AUGGUAUUAGCAGAGUUGAUGAUUGGGCUUUUGAGGAGGGGCCUCAUUCUGAUUUUGUUGGACCAACUUCAGGAAGCACAGCCUGUGUUGCAGUUAUUAGAAACAACCAACUUCUUGUGGCAAAUGCUG